CUCUGGUCGUACUGUGCUGUCCUUUGGCCGCCCUGGAUGGGGUUUAACAGCAAAAAGGUAUGGGAAGAUAAGAAUUUGCUAAACCCAUACGAGCUUGCGUCACAGGUGAUCCUUGUUACCAUGUACUCACAAUUGUGUUGCAUGGACUCUUUUUUUGCUUGGGAAGGAGCUCCUUAUUAGGAAUGGCCAUUCCUUUUUAUAAUACCCCUGGUUUCAUUGAUAGCUAUGCUUAACUUGGGAGAUAUUUGCUUUUCCUUAAGCAUAUUCUUUAUAGUUUUAAAUGCAUAUCAUAUUCUUUGCAAUAUAUAAUUUCCUAAUGAGUAGUCCUAUCGCUUGAAAGCGCUCACGUACAUAAUAAGCCAACCUCGACAUUGUUUUCAGCACUAUCGGCGAUCGAAGAGGCAUACGUUGAGUUUGGGUGCCCAGGAGCCGGCAAUGUUGGUGUCCAUGUGUCCUGCUGCAGGUGUUGCCGCUUCUGAAGCGAUGGAGAGGAGCAACGGAUGAUAGCUUGGGGAUACUUGAUAGCUAAGAUCACGUGUGCACAGAUGAACUGCAAAUGACAAUCAAUUAGGAAGUUUGGACAUUUGCUGCAAGCUGUUAGCCAUCGUGGCUCGAAGCACCAGAGACUGUCAUUGAGCUCCUCAAAUCACUAGCUGAUGAGGGAAGCAGGGGUACAUGGAUGCUAGGAUGGAGGCAACAAAGAAUUGUUCUCAGUUGGACGCUUUCCCUUGAGUCUCGGACAGAUGCUUACUGAAGUACGACCUGAAGAGAAAACGAAUGUUCCAGCACUGAAGCUCCAGGUGAAGACGGCAAUGAUGUCAUUGAGCUUCCUCAUGUACCUUUUAAAGCACUACAGAUGCAAUAAGCUCCAAGGAUAACAGUUUUGGUAGAGGCAGUACCUACUUAGUCGGACGGAACUGACCUGAACAGAACCUCGUCUCCUCAAGAUGGUUGCAGUUAACCUAGAUAAUACAACCUCAAGCG